rnacentral:lncRNA from 1 species
GAACGAUAGGGCCAAAAAGUGGGAGUGGGUGGGUAGGGGAGCAGGGCAGGGGGGAGGGUAUAGGGGACUUUCAGGAUAGCAUUUGAAAUGUAAAUGAAGAAAAUAUCUAAUAAAAAAUUGAAAAAAAAAGUCUGUUUCCAUACCCAAAAGAUAUUCAAAUAUCUGAUAUAAAGUCUCUAAGGAGAGUAAAUAGAGCCUCUUAUCAAAAUCUAGCAUUUGCCAUUCACUUGAGUAAGAUAUGCAAGAUGAAGUUUUACCAGACCUUUGUGUGACAGAACUUUUCCUGGGGAUACACAAUACACAUAUCUACUCACCCAGACAGGGAAUCCAUGACUGACCACAGUACAGAUACCACCGAAGUCCAGCUUGGUAAUCCAACGAAUUUUAUUACGAUUACUUACGGGCGUAUGGAUGAGGAGUUACUUAAAGUAGCAGAAACGACUGAGAAGACUGUGUCACCAAAGCCCACCACAGCAUAGGGGAUGACUUACAAAGCUGGGAACCAGGAGCACACUACACAGUCUGCAGGCAGCUCAACCAGUUGGGGAUUGUCCUUGCCAGGUGCCUCAGUUGGUCUAAACCUUUUCCAGGCAGUUGGUCUGGGCUCAGUCUUCUCUGCAGCUUGGUUUCUCUGAGAGUUGACACAGCUCAACUUCCUUCUGUCUGAGAGAGACUUUCAGCUUUUUACAUUUCAAAUGUUAUCCCCUUUCCUAGUUUCCCCUCUGAAAAUCCCCUGUCCUCUCCUCCCUCUCGCUGCUCCCCAACCCACCCACUCCUGCUUCCUGGCCUUGGCAUUCCCCUAUACCAGGGCAUAGAAAUGUCACAGGAUCAAGGGCUUCUCCUCUCAAUGAUGACCUACUAGGCCAUCCUCUGCUACAUAUGCAAUUAGAGCCUUGAGUCCCUCCAUGUGAUUUCUUUGAUUGGUGGUUUAGUCCCAGGGAACUCUGGGGUUGCUUGUUAGUUCAUAUUGUUGUUCCUCCUAGGGGGCUACAGACCCCUUCAGCUCCUUCAUUGGGGACCCUGUGCUCCAUCUAAUGGAUGACUGUGAGCAUCCACUUCUGUGUUCAUCAGGCACUGGCAGAGCCUCUCAAGAGACAGUUAUAUCAGGCUCCUGUCAGCAAGCUCUUGUUGGCAUCUGCAAUAGUGUCUGGGUUUGGUGGUUGUUUAUGGGAUGGAUCCUCAGAAGGGACAGUUUUUGGAUGGCCAUUACUUUAGUUUCUGCUCCAAAUGUUGUCUCUAAUAACUCAGGUAUUUUGUUCUCCUUUCUAAGAAGGAUCAAAGUAUCCACACUUUGGUCUUCCUUCUUCUUGAGUUUCAUGUGUUUUACAAAUUGUAUCUUGGGUAUUCUGAGAUUCUCGGCUAAUAUCCACUUAUCAGUGAGUGUAUAUCAUGUGUGUUCUUUUGUGAUUGGGUUACCUCACUCAAGAUGAUAUCCUCCAGAUCCAUCCAUUUGUCUAAGAAUUUCAUGAAUUCAUUGUUUUUAAUAGCUGAGUAGUACUCCAUUGUGUAAAUGUACCACAUUUUCUUUACCCAUUCCUCUGUUGAGGGACAUCUGGGUUCUUUCCAGCUUCUGGCUAUUAUAAAUAAGGCUGCUAUGAGCAUAGUGGAGCAUGUGUCCUUCUUACCGGUUGGAACAUCUUCUGGAUAUAUGCCCAGGAGAGGUAUUGCAGGAUCCUCUGGUGGUACUAUAUCCAAUUUUCUGAGGAACCACCUGACUGAUUUCCAGAGUGGUUGUACAAGCUUGCAAUCCCACCAGCAAUGGAGGAGUGUUCCUCUUUCUCUACAUCCUCACCAGCAUCUGCUGUCGCCUGAGUUUUUUAUCUUAGCCAUUCUGACUUGUGUGAGAUGGAAUCUCAGGGUUGUUUUGAUUUGCAUUUCCCUGAUGAUUAAGGAUGUUGAACUUUUUUUUUUUUUUUUUUAGGUGCUUCUCAGCCAUUUGGUAUUUCUCAGUUGAGAAUUCUUUGUUUAGCUCUUACCCCACUUUUAAAUAGGGUUAUUUGGUUUUCUGGAGUCCAACUUCUUGAGUUCUCUCUCUAUAUAUUGGAUAUUAGCCCCCUUUUGGAUUUAGGAUUGGUAAUGAUCUUUUCCCAAUCUGUUGGUUGCCAUUUUGUCUUAUUGACAGUGUCCUUUGCCUUAUAGAAGCUUUGUAAUUUUAUGGCAUCCCAUUUGUUGAUUCUUGAUCUUACAGCACAAGCCAUUGCUGUUCUGUUCAGGAAUUUUUCUCCUGUGUCCAUAUCUUUGAGGCUCUUCCUCACUUUCUCCUCUGUAAGUUUCAGUGUCGCCAGCACUGCUUUUGCUUACUCUGUCAGGGACGGGUUGAAUCAAUCUGGUCCGUUUCAGAGAGUUUCUGAUGCUGUUUUAAUAUGGACAAAACUGUUACAUAAAACACUUUUAGUCAAACCUUCACAUGUGAUACCAACCAGGGUCACAUUUGUUAACCUCCAGAGAGAUGAACAAAGUACACUCAGAAAACCCUCUUCAGAUUCCCAACCUAAUUACUCUCAAACAGAAAUACUACUUUUGUUUUUGUUUUUCAGAUAGAGUGUCUCUAUAAAGCCCUGGUUAUCCUAGAAAUGGCUUAUGUAGACCAGAUUGGCCUUGAAUCCAUCAAGAUCCACCUACCUCUGCUUUCUGAGUGCUGGAUUAAAGGCAUGUACCACCAUGCCAGGUUAAAAAAAACCACACAUACAAAAAUAAUACAAAACUAAUCAACCAAACAACCAACCAAAAAACAAACAAACAAACAAACCCCAAACC